UAUUAUUAUUAUUAUUUUUUAAUUGCAAAUCAAUGCAUUACAAGGUCCUAGGGGCGCAUAUUUAGAUUAUUAAUGAUAUCACUGUUUUGACACUAUUAAAAAGUCAGGUGGUAUUGGGAUAAACACUCAAUUAUUUAGCUACAGGCCAUUAUAUUAGACUCCACGAUAUUGAGUUUUUAAUUAGUUUUUGGAUGGAGUGUUUGUGACUUUUAAACUUUUAAAAAAGUAG
rnacentral:misc_RNA from 1 species